UCGAGUCUUUGAACGCAAGUUGCGCCCUAGGCCAUCCGGCUGAGGGCACGUCUGCCUGGGUGUCACGCAC
rnacentral:rRNA from 1 species